CGGGGUUUCACUGUUUUAGCCGGGAUGGUCUCGAUCUCCUGACCUCGUGAUCCGCCCGCCUCGGCCUCCCAAAGUGCUGGGAUUACAGGCGUGAGCCACCGCGCCCGGCCCACAUCAGAUUCUUGAAUGGAGAGCUUACCCCAAGAACCUGACCCAAGGGGACCGGGCUGCAAUUUGAUAGGGAGCUGGAGGAACUGCAUGGCAUUUAGUGUAUGGGGGUAGGAGUGGGGGCAAGAAGGACACCUUCCUCCCCAAAACCUACAGUCAGUCCAGUGGAGGAGCAGUCCUGGGUGGUUGGGGGCUCCUGAUACCAGGACCACCAUCUCCCAGCAGGAAAGAAGCCCCUCCCCUGCUGUCUGGAACAGCUCCUCUCUAUGCAAACAUGGAUCACCUGGGGUUGGGGAGCAUUGAGGGGAGGCUGGCUGGGCCAAAUGGAAUGCUGGUUCAUAGGCCAGAACUCGGAAGAUUCUCUGAAGCAUCUUGGGAGGUAUGAAAUAAGAGUCACUUAGAGAGAGGACAGAGCUUUCAUGAAAGAGGAUGACUAGGAGGCUGUCUUGUCCAUCCCUUGCUUCUGUGCCAAGCCCCACUAUUUCUCGGGAAUGUUUCCUGCUUUCAGGUCUAUUUCCAUGCUCAUUCAGCGUGGAAGUUUGCAUACCUUCACCUCAAAAAUAAAAACACACUUAUUAAAGACCUACUGUGCCCCAGACCUACUGUGUGCUGAAUGAUGGUGUUCUAAGCA
rnacentral:lncRNA from 1 species